rnacentral:rRNA from 1 species
GACGAACGCUGGCGGCGUGCUUAACACAUGCAAGUCGAACGGAAAGGCCAUGCUCUUGCGGGGUGCUCGAGUGGCGAACGGGUGAGUAACACGCGAGUAAACUGCCCUUGACUUUGGGAUAAAUUCAGGAAACUGGGGCUAAUAUCGGAUAGGAGCUCCUGCUGCAUGGUGGGGGGUGGAAAGUUUCGGCGGUUGGGGAUGGACUCGCGGCUUAUGAGCUUGUUGGUGGGGUAGUGGCUUACCAAGGCUUUGACGGGUAGCCGGCCUGGGAGGGUGACCGGCCACAUUGGGACUGAGAUACGGCCCAGACUCCUACGGGAGGCAGCAGUGGGGAGUAUUGCACAAUGGGCGGAAGCCUGAUGCAGCAACGCCGCGUGCGGGAUGACGGCCUUCGGGUUGUAAACCGCUUUCGCCUGUGACGAAGCGUGAGUGACGGUAAUGGGUAAAGAAGCACCGGCUAACUACGUG